rnacentral:rRNA from 1 species
ACAAGGGCUGGGCAAGACCGGUGCCAGCCGCCGCGGUAAUACCGGCAGCCCGAGUGAUGGCCGAUAUUAUUGGGCCUAAAGCGUCCGUAGCUGCUGCGCAAGUCCGUCGGGAAAUCCACUCGCCCAACGAGUGGGCGUCCGACGGAAACUGCACAGCUUGGGACCGGAAGGCUCGAAGGGUACGUUCGGGGUAGGAGUGAAAUCCCAUAAUCCCGCACGGACCACCGAUGGCGAAAGCACUUCGAGAAAACGGAUCCGACAGUGAGGGACGAAAGCUCGGGUCUCCAACCGGAUUAGAUACCCGGGUAGUCCGAGCCGUAAACAAUGCUCGUUAGGUGUGGCACCCACUACGAGUGGGUGCUGUGCCGUAGGGAAGCCGCUAAACGAGCCGCCUGGGAAGUACGUC